UCUUGGCCGGAUGGAGAACGAGCCCGUUUAUCCAUGAAACUGUGCCACGGCGUCGCCGACUGAGCUUCUGGUGAACGUUUUCACCGCUGAGGACAGAAGAGGCGACUGAUUGGUAGCUGCUCAGAGAACCCAAGAAGUCUUGGGGAGAGUAUCGUAAAGGCUGCAGUAAGGCUGGGCCCUGGCAUCUGCUCUGGAGUCUUAUCCUCGAUAGCUUCCUUCUGACACAUAAAGGAUGCAUGCAGCACCUUGGAGACAGGCCCGGGAGCUAAAGUGCUAAGACAAGCCAGGGCCUGGCCACCUGUGGACCACCUGUCUAUGCCCAUUGCCAAAGACCAUCAGGAACAAAGUUGGAUUUACUGAUUUGCUGCAGUGAGGGAGACUGCAUAGGUGUCUAGAUGAGUCUAGAUGAGUCCUGGGCCA